UAAAGUUGCUGCAGUUAAAGCGCUCGGAGUUGGAGGUGAGCGGUGACGCGGUCGGCGUCCCUCCGGGGUCCACGCCGAUCCGGUCCCGCCCGGGUUUGCCGGAUGGACCGGGGCGCCCUUGGCCGGGUGCCUGCCGGGGAUGCGGCAGGAGGUUACCUUGAAAAAAUUGAGUGCUUCAAGCGGGCCGGAGGCUGCCCGGAUAGAGGAAUCGUGGAAUAACGGCAAGGGGACGGCGCGGCCGUGAGAGUUCCCCGCCCGAGGGCGGCGGAGCCGUCGGUCCGAGGCCACGUCGUAGACGAUUGAGAGGGACGGCCGGGGGCAUUGGUACUGCGGGGCGAGAGGUGAAAUUCUGGGACCCUCGCAAGACCAACCACAGCGAAAGCAUUUGCCAAGAAUGUCUUCCUUAAUCCAGAACGAAAGUCAGAGGAUCGAAGGCGAUUAGAUACCGCUCUAGUUCUGACCGUAAACGGUGCCGACCGGCGAUCCGCGGCGUUGUAGUCCGAACGCCGCGGGCAUCCUCCCGGGAAACCAAAGUCUUUGGGCUCCGGGGGGAGUACGGUUGCAAAACUGAAACUUAAAGGAAUUGACGGAAAGGCACCACCAGGAGUGGAGCCUGCGGCUCAAUUCGACUCAACACGGGGAACCUCACCAGGUCCGGACGCCGGAAGGAUUGACAGACCGAGAGACCUUUCUCGAUUCGGUGGGUGGUGGUGCAUGGCCGUUCUUAGUUGGUGGAGUGAUUUGUCUGGUCAAUUCCGGUAACGAACGAGGUUCCACCCCCGGGUKGUGGAGCGGGCCAGAUCAGGUCCGCGCGCCGACUCCCGCCCGGCCGCGCGCGGGUUCCGGCCGCGCUCUCCCGCGCGGGGACGCCGCUUCGGCGCGGAACCGCCGGGGUCGCGGUCCGGACUCCCGCCGGGCCCAGGGGGCCGGCGUCGCGGCAGGCCCGUCGUCCACGGCAUGGCUCCCGGGGGACCGGCGGUGGAGGGAGCCGCAGGAGGUGCGGAGCGAUAACAGGUCUGUGAUGCCCUUAGAUGUCCUGGGCCGCACGCGCGCUACAAUGACGGCGUCAGCGGGCCUCCCCUCCGAGAGGAGCGGGCAAUCCCUGAAACGCCGUCGUGGUGGGGAUCGGGGCUUGCAACGUUUCCCGUGAACCGGGAAUCCCCUGUAGGGGCCGGUAACCAGCCGGCCCCGAACGAGUCCCUGCCCUUUGUACACACCGCCCGUCGCUACUACCAAUGGCCGGGUGGGUGAGGGCCUCGGACCGGGGACCAGACGCCCCUCCUCGGAGGGGGCGAGACGGA
rnacentral:rRNA from 1 species